GUCUGGUCUAAGUGCAGUGGUAUUUACGUCCAGUUGACCACAACCACUUACAGGUUUCUUUGGCCCUUCUUCAUUCCCACAGCUUCACGUGACCAGCCCUAG
ensembl:misc_RNA Y_RNA Y RNA